rnacentral:rRNA from 1 species
GGAAUAUUGCGCAAUGGGGGAAACCCUGACGCAGCGACGCCGCGUGGGUGAUGAAGGCCUUCGGGUCGUAAAGCCCUGUCGGAGGGGAAGAAGGAUUGCGGUGCCUAUAGUGCCGUGGUCUGACGGUACCCUUAAGGGAAGCACCGGCUAACUCCGUGCCGGCAGCCGCGGUAAUACGGAGGGUGCAAGCGUUGCUCGGAAUUACUGGGCGUAAAGCGCGUGUAGGCGGUUUCGUAUGUCUGGUGUGAAAUCCCCGGGCUCAACCCGGGAAGUGCACUGGAAACUGCGAGACUAGAGUCCCGGAGAGGAAGGUGGAAUUCCAGGUGUAGCGGUGAAAUGCGUAGAUAUCUGGAAGAACACCGGUGGCGAAGGCGGCCUUCUGGACGGUGACUGACGCUGAGACGCGGAAGCGUGGGGAGCAAAC